rnacentral:sRNA from 1 species
GGGGCAGGGCUGGGCCGCUGCCGUCGAGGCGAGGUCGAAGCGGCCGUCGAGGCGGCUGCUCUUCCCUCCCCUCGCUUCCCCUCUCCAUCAGCAGCCCAAGGGUGUGGCUCCCCUUACCAACCCAGGUGUGUGCGGGCAGCAUCCUUGCCCACGGGCUCCAAGUGCCCCCCGCUACCCCUAUGCUCUGAGUGUUUGGGGAGGUGGGAGAAGUGGGUAUCUGUGCCUCCCCUGAGUAAUGAGGAAACCCCCUUUUCAGCUCCCAGUCCGUUAGAGACAAUGCGGGGCAAUUCCAUUAGACAGCCUCAGCCCUCCAUUUAGAGUCCUGGGCAGCAGAACAGCCUCUAACCGGAUCCUGGGGGGCGUGCGGUCUGGGGUGCGAGCUGGGAGGCGACCCCGCAGUUCAGCCUCUGCACGCUCUUCCCGUCAGGUUGGAGGAGGAGACGCGCAAGCGGGAGGACGCGGAGCACAACCUCGUGCUCUUCCGCAAGGACGUGGACGAUGCCACUCUGUCCCGCCUGGAACUAGAGCGCAAGAUUGAGUCUCUGAUGGAUGAGAUUGAGUUCCUCAAGAAGCUGCACGAGGAGGAGCUGCGAGACCUGCAGGUGAGUGUGGAGAGCCAGCAGGUGCAGCAGGUGGAGGUGGAAGCCACGGUGAAGCCCGAGCUGACGGCAGCGCUGAGGGACAUCCGCGCGCAGUACGAGAGCAUCGCCGCGAAGAACCUGCAGGAGGCGGAGGAGUGGUACAAGUCCAAGUACGCGGACCUGUCCGACGCUGCCAACCGGAACCACGAGGCCCUGCGCCAGGCCAAGCAGGAGAUGAACGAGUCCCGACGCCAGAUCCAGAGUCUAACGUGCGAGGUGGACGGGCUGCGCGGCACGAACGAGGCGCUGCUCAGGCAGUUGAGAGAGCUGGAGGAGCAGUUCGCCCUGGAGGCGGGGGGCUACCA